rnacentral:rRNA from 1 species
GAUGAACGCUGGCGGCGUGCCUAAUACAUGCGAGUCGAGCGAACAGACGAGGAGCUUGCUCCUCUGACGUUAGCGGCGGACGGGUGAGUAACACGUGGAUAACCUACCUAUAAGACUGGGAUAACUUCGGGAAACCGGAGCUAAUACCGGAUAAUAUAUUGAACCGCAUGGUUCAAUAGUGAAAGACGGUUUUGCUGUCACUUAUAGAUGGAUCCGCGCCGCAUUAGCUAGUUGGUAAGGUAACGGCUUACCAAGGCAACGAUGCGUAGCCGACCUGAGAGGGUGAUCGGCCACACUGGAACUGAGACACGGUCCAGACUCCUACGGGAGGCAGCAGUAGGGAAUCUUCCGCAAUGGGCGAAAGCCUGACGGAGCAACGCCGCGCGAGUGAUGAAGGUCUUCGGAUCGUAAAACUCUGUUAUUAGGGAAGAACAAAUGUGUAAGUAACUAUGCACGUCUUGACGGUACCUAAUCAGAAAGCCACGGCUAACUACGUG